GACGAACGCGGCGGCGUGCUUAACACAUGCAAGUCGAACGGAGCGAAUGAAAGCUUGCUUUUAUAAGCUUAGUGGCAAACGGGUGAGUAACACGUAGGCAACCUGCCGACAGGAUGGGGACAACAUUCCGAAAGGAAUGCUAAUACCGAAUGAAGCGCAGGAGAGGUAUCUCUCCUGCGUGAAAGAUGGCCUCUAUAUAUAAGCUAUCACCUGUCGAUGGGCCUGCGUCUGAUUAGCUGGUAGGUGAGGUAACGGCUCACCUAGGCGACGAUCAGUAGCCGGUCUGAGAGGAUGAACGGCCACAUUGGGACUGAGACACGGCCCAGACUCCUACGGGAGGCAGCAGUGGGGAAUCUUCCGCAAUGGGCGCAAGCCUGACGGAGCAACGCCGCGUGAGUGAAGAAGGUCUUCGGAUCGUAAAGCUCUGUUGAUGGGGACGAACGUGCCUAAUG
rnacentral:rRNA from 1 species